rnacentral:rRNA from 1 species
AUUGAACGCUGGCGGCACGCCUAACACAUGCAAGUCGAGCGGCAGCGCGAUAUGUAGCAAUACAUAUUGGCGGCGAGCGGCGGACGGGUGAGGAACACGUAGGAACCUACCCUCGAGUGGGGGAUAACCAAGGGAAACUUUGGCUAAUACCGCAUGAAUUCGAGAGAGCAAAGCUGCCGCCAGGUGGCGCUCGAGGAGGGGCCUGCGUCCGAUUAGCUAGUUGGUGAGGUAAGAGCUCACCAAGGCGAUGAUCGGUAACUGGUCUGAGAGGACGACCAGUCACACUGGGACUGAGACACGGCCCAGACUCCUACGGGAGGCAGCAGUGGGGAAUAUUGGACAAUGGGGGCAACCCUGAUCCAGCGAUGCCGCGUGAGUGAAGAAGGCCUUCGGGUCGUAAAGCUCUUUAGGUUGGGAAGAAGAGUGAUGGAGGAAAUGCUAUCACUUUGACGGUACCGACAGAAUAAGCACCGGCAAACUCUGUGCCAGCAGCCGCGGUAAGAC